GGGGAAUUUUCCGCAAUGGGGGCAACCCUGACGAAGCAACACCGCGUGGAGGAUGAAGGCGUUUUCGUUGUAAACUCCUUUUCUGAGGGAAUAAAUCUGAAGGUACCUCAGGAAUAAGCAACGGCUAACUACGUGCCAGCAGCCGCGGUAAGACGUAGGUUGCGAGCGUUAUCCGGAAUUAUUGGGCGUAAAGAGUUCGUAGGUGGUUUGUUAAGUUGGAUGUCAAAGCCUUGAGCUCAACUCAAGACAGGUGUCCAAAACUGGCAGACUAGAGACAGGCAGAGGCAGGUGGAAUUCUGUAUGUAGGGGUAAUAUCCGUAGAUAUACAGAGGAACACCAAAAGCGAAGGCAGCCUGCUGGGCCUGUUCUGACACUCAAGAACGAAAGCGUGGGGAGCAAAAGGGAUUAGAUACCCCUGUAGUC
rnacentral:rRNA from 1 species